UCAGAGUUUAUGUCAGCAGAGCAGCAAGGACAGCUAAGGUUGCUAAUAACAAACCAGUGUCUAACCCAGCCUGAGGUGUAUCAGACAGAGUAACAGAAAAUAACUGAAAUUUAUAUCCUCCUUUGUUACCUUUGCAAGUCAGGAUGAGGCUCGGAGCUUUACACCCGGAGUUCACUUUCGCUGCUGGUUUGCAUUCAGGACACAGAGAGAAGAUUUAAAGGGGCUUGGAAGAGAAGGCUGCUGGGCUGCAAGUGCUGUGCAAAGAACUCCUGUGCUCUCAGCCAGCACACACCCUCCACCAGACUUCCACCAGCUGUAGUUCCACUGUGGCUACUGAACAAGUUCAGAAAAACUGAUGGAACUUGACAUGGUCACCAGAGAAAGCUUGGUAGACAUGGUGCUGGAAGGAUGACCACAUCAUCCUGUACUGGGGAGACCACUUGCACCUUUUUAUGAUGCUGCUGCAACUUCUCAGCGAGGCUGGAAUGCUGUUAUGACAGUGGCACUAUGCUUAUGUUGCAUUACUAAAAGCACACUUGGAAGCAUCUCAACGGGAACCAAAACAGAGCAGUUAAAAAAAAAGUCUCAGUCCAAUGCCAGGCCUUUGAGGAACACUGAGAUGCUUCAAAAGCAGAGAGCUCUGCAACCUCAAGCAUCAUGUUACUGAAUGAACAUCCAUGGAAAAGAAUGACUACAAGGCAGAAACAAGGGUCGAUGAAAUCUGCACAUCCACCAGAGCUGAAACUGCUGCUGGGCACGGCAGGCCUUGUGCCAUCUUCUGUUCUGUGUCUCCAUUUGCUCACUCUUUCUCCUCAUUUGCUUCUGAACCUUUAGUACAACAUCAGUCAUGUCUGAAAUGCCUCUAGGACAAGCCAUGAGGCUGGAUUCGGCCACUACUUCAGCAACAUUCAUCCCAGUUAUCACCUGGGGCUCCCCCCAGCUCCCAGUACUAUCUCAUCUUUCUAGAUAGAAUCUUCCUCCAGUUCCCCAAGAAACUCAGUCCUAGAUUUCUACCUUGCAUUUAUCCUGUCAAUCACUCACUGCAAGAACUGGCACUUCAUCAGCAUCUUCUUUGUGGAGAUAUUAGAAUGCUGCCAAUAGUUCAGUGGUAAUGACUAGUGUGGAUGAACAGCCUAUGCAAAUAAAACCCCUCCAUCAAGUCAGGAAUAAGGAAAUUAGCAAGGACUGGAGAUGCUACUGGAAAUGCCAAAGCAGCACCAUCAGUGAUGAGAUUCUGGGAAAUGCAACACUGAAGACAUUAAAACCUUGCUAUUAGCAGUCCUUACCCACUCUUUUCCCCUUCUCUCCAUUCUACGCCAACAUGAAGCAGUGGAAAAUGACUGGAAAGUUUCAGACAGGAGAAAGUGACCCAUGCCAAGAACUCCCAGAGGCAAGUCCAACUUCCUAAAAAUGACCAGGAAUUUAGUAGAAGCUACAGCCAGCUGCAGCCUGCUGACACGGAUUUCUUCUUCCUCCCUACCCUGGCAGGCAAGAACUACAACCCAGCUUUCACAAGUUUUUGAUGGCCCAUCCAAGAGCUGACUAUUUAAAUUCCUGGCAAACACUUUUGCUUUUCAGAGCCUACAAGCUCUGACCUUGUGCAGAUAAAGGAAGAUGGCAACACAACCUCCACAGGGACCCUGACAGCCCUUCCUCCCUUCCCAUUCCAAAAGCUUUGCUUUUAAGGCCUCCCUUCCAACCACAGACAGCACUGUUCCAUCCUCCUUCCUUCCUUCCUGCAGACAUUCAUCCCUCUCUGCCUCCACAGUUGCUUCCUUUGGGUCUCUCAGAAAGGGUUACCAUCGCUUUAAAAAAUAAGACCAAGUUUUGCAAACAUUCCUUCCUUCUCCAUUCUUUCCAAGGAUGUGAAGCUAUUGUGCAUGAAUGAAGGACAUUAUUUGCACUUUCUGGUGCUACCCUAGAAGGCGAGGUUGCAAACGCUCACCACAACACACAGCUAUUUUAAUUUAAGUUCAAGAGCCCAGCUAUUGCAAUUUAUUAAGUUAAAGCUGCACAAACAUUUUUGGAACUGGCCAGCUGAAGUACCUUAUGGCCCCGACAGCAACGCUCACCGAAGCCUUUCCUUAACCACACUCAGAAUGUCCAAGUGAACAAAGUAUGAUAGAAGUUAUUAACAAUGCUAACAACAAACCACAGCACACAGCUGAAGAAAAACAUCAGCCAUAUCCAGGACCCCCUAUUUCAUGUCUUUGUUCUGAUGAGUUCAGAGCGUGAGCUAUCUGGGAUGCACGCUCUGGAUGGGGACAUUUUCAUCUUAGUCUGUAACUCACAGGGCAGCAUUUUCAGAAGCAUGUAAAAUACCAAUAAGAUAUUUAGCUAGAUAAUGCAUAUUUCUGUUCUACUGCAAAACUCGAGUUCUGCUUGACUCGGCAGCCUGCACAUGACU